UUGUGGCUUCUAAAUGCAAAAUGAGGCAGAACUUAGCUUGUCACAUAGGUGUAUUCUUCCUGGAACCGAUGCGGGGUCAGAAAACUGAUGGCUUUUAAGCAAGCUGGACGGGUCCUCUCAGCGCAUUCCCCCACCCGCCUGGCGCCAAUGGAGCUGGCCUGGCCCGCCCAGCCCCUCCCCGCCCCGUCCGCGCUCGGACCGGACUUUCAGGACUGCAGGGGAAAGGGUGGACACCCAGCCUCCCGCCAGGACGGCGGAGAUACCUUCAACGAGGAUACAAAAAUACAUCAGUUUGCAAACCAGAAGAAGGUCCUCACCAGAAACCAACUAUGCUGGCACCCUGAUCUUGGACUUCUAGCCUCCAGAACUGUGAGAAAUAAAUGUGUGUUUAUAAACCAGUCAGUCAGUCUAUGGUGCUUUAUUAUAGCAUCUGGAACGAGCUAAGACAGCUGCUAAGUAGCAUUCCAUUUGACAAGGAAGACUUACCAUUCACACUACUUCUGAGUUCAAUGAAAGAGAGGCUCGGUAAGUUUUAAAAAUCAAAUUUCAAUGACUUAGUCUAAUUCUCAUUAAUAAUUUAAAUUAUUUUUCUAAGAUAUGUUUUACAUCUUCUAAAAAUUUACCGGUUUGUUAUAAGCAUAUCCAAUUAAUGCUUGAGAUUUUACCUGAUUAGAUCUGCACUUUUACAUCCAACAUUUGCAGGAAGCUUCAUUCUACCAGUUCAAAUCCAGAUUUACAGGUAGUUAACCCAUCUGUUUUGGGUUUUUUUUCUGCUUCUAUUUCAUAGAAGGCUAGAGCUGC
rnacentral:lncRNA from 1 species